rnacentral:rRNA from 1 species
CCUACGGGAGGCAGCAGUGGGGAAUAUUGCACAAUGGGGGAAACGCUGAUGCAGCGACGCCGCGUGAGUGAAGAAGUAUUUCGGUAUGUAAAGCUCUAUCAGUAGGGGAGUAAAUGACGGUACCUGAGUAAGAAGCCCCGUCUAACUACGUGCCAGCAGCCGCGGGAAUACGUAGGGGGCAAGCGUUAUCCGGAUUUACUGGGUGUAAAGGGAGCGUAGACGGCAGCACAAGUCUGGAGGGAAAUGCCGGGGCUUAACCACGGAACUGCUGUUGAAACUGUGCAGCUAGAGUGCAGGAGAGGUAAGUGGAAUGCCUAGUGUAGCGGUGAAAGGCGUAGAUAUUAGGAGGAACACCAGUGGCGAAGGCGGCUUACUGGACUGUAACUGACGUUGAGGCUCGAAAGCGUGGGGAGCAAACAGGAUUAGAUACCCCAGUAGUC